AACCCUGCAGGAGCUGCAUGGCUGGAAGGCACGCGUGUGACGGAACAGCAGAUGGACUGUUUGGACUUGCUUGGUGGAGUCUGGAGCAGCCCCGGACUUGGGGAAGGCGGAUUUGAGAGGCAAAAAGAGGUGGUUCGGGAGGCAGAGAGGGAGAAGGAAGGAGGAGCUGCUCUAGGAGGAAGACUCAGGGCAGACUUAUAGGCUUUUCUGAGAGAGCACAGAAUACCAUCUCCUCUUCCCCAGAAGACACUGGGCGCAUCUGCCCUGCACACCAGUCCUUCAAACUGGCUAUACGACUCAAGGGGCUCUAAGCUGAGACUGGCCACUAGGCAAAUAUGUGAUGAAGAACAACGGCUGUCCCCGAAGGCCUAGUCACAUUGGCCUGCCCGGGGCUGGGCUGAUUUGGAAAGGAAUGUAGCAGACAGCUGCAGGCCUCCCUCCACACAUUCAAAGCCUGGCCCACUAGUCCCUUCCUCCCUGGAGAGUGGCUACAGAGUAGGGGUCGGGUCUUGAGUUUGCUCGUAGACACCUGGACUGGAGAUCCUGCUCUCGUCAUUGAAGAAUGAGCUUUCAGUUUCAGGGAUGCUGACAGAAGACAUGAGCCUUCUGGAUCGGAAACAAUGGACUUUAUUACCACAUAGCAGGCAGUAUGCGCUUCCUGGCUCCUUGCCCCUCAAGUCCCACAAGGGCGAUGUGGAGGGGCCCAGGUAGGUGCUGGACAUGUGUCCUUCACAGCUGAGGAUCCCCAAGCUUAGGAAGCUCCAGUGUUUUAUAAUGGGUUGUAAGCAAACAUCAGAUUUUGCUCUGAAGAGAAAAAUUCAUCUAUGCUGUACUGGACAAUGAACAAAUUAUUCCUCAGCUCCAAAGGGGACACAGUCUGGAUAUUAUUCCAAGGCCAUUCACUAUGCAAGCAUCCUUGAACCGAUAUCUGGAGUAAAAGCUGCACUGACAAGGUCUGCAGAAGUAUGAGAGAGACCAAUGGAGAGCUGCCUCCCUAUACUAU